UAUUAUACGUGUCUUGAGAGGUGGUCAGUGACGGAGGAGGGAAAAGCAGACUUGGCAUCAAACAUGGAUGACAGAAAAUCCAAAACCAAACAAAAUCAGUUGAUGUACAUAUAGUUAAUUUCUGUAUAGGGUGAUCUUAUUAUUAUGUGAACAUUUUGUAUGCAAAGAUUUCGAAGGCCAUCCAUGGUUUACUGACAGGCAAAUACCUCUAAUUGUGUCAUCUUUUGGUGUGCAAAAUUGGGUAUCUAUUGCAACAACUGGAAAGCACAUUGGCUGCAGAUAAACCAAAGUUCCUCAUUAUCAAGUGUAGCCGUUUCACUUCAAUUCAUUUUUGGCUACAUACUAACCUUCAGGGUAAUGGUGCCAAAAAUCGAGACAGUAAAGGCAGAGAAAGGUUAUUAACCUCAACUUUUUCUCUAUAUAUAUCCAGGUUGGAGACGGUAAUAUAGAAGCUGAGUCUAUGCAUGUAUGACUUGAGAGUGUUUAGUCUCUAUUCUUUUUCCCUUUACGUUUCUCUCAGAGCUUGAGGAAGUGGAUAUUUUGAUCGCCUAGCUAGCAAAGAGAAGAGACUGAAACUAAUCUUAGCUUAACUCUCUUCACCGGUGUUUAUCGGCUAGAGUUUAUUCAAGGAAAUUAAAACUGUCUCUACUGUGUCUGUGUUCCAUACCAGUUAUGGAUUUUCCCAGUGAAAAGGGUUUUUUCGGCAAGGCAAAGUCUGUAGCUUCAUCCAUUUAUGGAUUCAUAUUAUGGUCAGUAGCCUUGCCAUCUGCCAUUCAAAUUCAAAACAAUAUUGGCCAAUAUCUCCUGGUCUCAAAACCCUAAUUUACUCACCAAAAGAAUCUCCUCAAAACCCAAAUCAUCAUCGCUUCAUUAUCCAUUCUUACAUGAUAUCAUCAUCAUUUUUAUCACCAUCUAGCUCCAGUACUUCUCCCUCGUCGUUUCGAUCACUGACUACUUCCUCAUCAUACUCCUCUUGUUCCUCUGUGUUGGGCGAUUUGAUUGGGACAGAGAGUGGUGUUUACUUGGACUGCAUAAGUGAAGAAGAAACAGAAGCAAGAAUGGAGAAACAACAGCCAUAUCAUCGUAAUCUUAGCAAGCGAAAUCAGCAGCGGUGUGAAAUGAGGAAGAAAUAUCCACCACCUAUUCCUUUACUAGCAAGAACAGGCAAUUUGCCUGGUCAUAUGCCUUGAAUUUAACUAGGCAUUAUUCUAAUGGAAGAUUGAUCCUUAGAGAAGAGAGAGUGAAGCAUCACGAGUACUUUGAAGCAUAUAGAGAAGAUGGCCGACUCAUCUUGAAGCUUGUACCUUUGGAUGAUACAGUUAGAUGCUGCCAUUCCGUUUAUUAUGAUGAACAAGAGGAGCUAGAGCUACAAGAUCUUGAGCCGGUCGAAGAAGAAGAAAAAGAAGGAACCCAUGAAAACAUAGAUGAAGAAGAAGAAAUAGAAGCAGAUGAACAAACUGAAGAUGACAAUUAUUUAGAUUAUAAGAUAAUUAACGAAAAAUUAAUGGGUGUAGCAUCGGCUUCUUCAGUGCCAAAAUCAAGUUUUGAGAAUGGAAGUGAUGAAAGGCCUGGAGAAGUACGCAAGUGUUUGACGUAUGAAGGUAGGAAGAUAUUAGACUCUAUUUGUCUUGCAAUGCAAAUGCUCAUAGAAAUGGUGGUGCCUACAUGGCUCGAUCUGGCUCUGCAGCUACUUUGUCCUUCACUAUUCGUCCAAUGGCCACUGUGGUGUAGCUGGAUUAAUUAAUUAAUUAUCACUUGUAAUUAA